UCGGAUUGUAGUCUGNAACCCGACUACAUGAAGCUGGAAUCGCUAGUAAUCGCGGAUCAGAAUGCCGCGGUGAAUACGUUCCCGGGUCUUGUACACACCGCCCGUCACACCAUGGGAGUCGGGAAUGCCCGAAGUCAGUGGCCCAACCGAAAGGGGGGAGCUGCCGAAGGCAGGCCUGGUGACUGGGGUGAAGUCGUAACAAGGUAAC
rnacentral:rRNA from 1 species